AAAGGAGUCAACAGCUGGCAUUCAUAACUGCUGUGAAGCACCAGUUUUCUGUGAUUACUUUUCCCCCAAUGGGAAAUCAGAAAUCGAGGCAACUGCGCAGUUCUGGUCAUUUCUAUACAAUUGGCAGCUUCAGAAAAUGAUCUAAGGAAGGCAGAGAAAGUGAGCAAUUGACCCUCUCUUAUUUGACAGCUGUCAAAUGUUCCUUAUUAUACCCCAUAAGCCGUGCACAUCCUUGCUGCUAUAGCGGGACACAAGCUUUUCUUUUUUAAUUACAGCAGAAAUGAAAGCCCCAUGCUGUAAGUCAGCGACUUUGCUGUUACCAGCAUGGUCCUUCAUAUAUAAAGCAAGCGCCCCCAGUUCUACCUGCAGGUUUGAUCCCUGCAUUUUCAGGUAGGGCUGUUAAUGUUUCUUUCUGAAAUGCUGGAGAGCUGCUGCCCAUCAGUGUACUGUAUACAAUACUGUAUUGAGAUAGAUGGUCUAAUGAUCUGACUCUAUAAAACAGUUUCCUUUGUCCCUUAUGCAUAUUUCCCCUCUUUUUCACUUACAGUUAAACAUAGAAGAAUAUCACAAGUUAAAAGAAGAGACACAAAGAGAGACAGAGCCAUCCAUAUACAGUGGUACCUCGGUUACAUACGCUUCAGGUUACCGUACAUACGCUUCAGGUUACAGACUCCGCUAACCCAUAAAUAUUACCUCAGGUUAAGAACUUUGCUUCAGGAUGAGAACAGAAAUCGUGCUCCAGCGGCGCAGCGGCAAUGGGAGGCCCCAUUAGCUAAAGUGGUGCUUCAGGUUAAGAACAGUUUCAGGUUCGACCUCCGGAACGAAUUAAGUACUUAACCCGAGGUACCACUGCACUGUAGAAGCUUAUGCAGCUAGUUCUGCCCUGUAAUUCCAGAUGUCUGACUUAGUCCUGACUUAUAGUCCUGUUAUGACUAUAAACAACGUUGUGACAUGAGCAAGCAAAAGCCACACAAAGUCAGUAGCCUAUCACAGGC